GUGCUCGCUUUGGAACACGUCUACUAAAACUGGAACGACACGGAGAAGAUUAGCGUGGCCCCUGCACAAAGAUGACACGCAAAUUCGUGAAGCGUUCCACAUUAUA